GAUCAUGGCUCAGGAUGAACGCUAGCUACAGGCUUAACACAUGCAAGUCGAGGGGCAGCAUUUUUCUAGCAAUAGAAGAGAUGGCGACCGGCGCACGGGUGAGUAACACGUAUCCAACCUACCGAUAACUCUGGAAUAGCCUCUCGAAAGAAAGAUUAAUACCGGAUAGUAUACGAAUAUCGCAUGAUAUUUUUAUUAAAGAAUUUCGGUUAUCGAUGGGGAUGCGUUCCAUUAGUUUGUUGGG
rnacentral:rRNA from 1 species